ACGAAUUUUUGUCAGUUGGUUGAUGCUGGUGGUGGGUGGGAUUCAAAACCCCCCCUGCAUGUGCUCGCCUUCUGCAAUUUUUCUUCAUCCAUACACCUGUGCACCUUUUGUAGACCUUUCAGGUCUAUGUUGCUUCAUUUACCCCAAUGUAUGUUAAUAGAAUGUUGUGCCUAUAUAAUAUAUA
rnacentral:misc_RNA from 1 species